rnacentral:lncRNA from 1 species
CCCCUUGUCGAACUCAAUAUAUAUCUUUUUAAAAAAAUUACAAUUUUAUGGGCAUUACUGCCAUUUUGGAAAAAAUUAGUCUAAUAGGACAUAAAGUAGUGUAAAUUAGUCUAAAAGGACAUAAUUACCAUUUUUUGCUCUAAAAAAACAGAUUUCCCUAUUAUAUUUUUCAUUUAGAUGUAAGAUUUCAAAAUAUUAUCAUUACAAAUGAAUACCUCUCCCAUCACAAACUUUAUCCAAUAUACAGUAGAAUUUUCAGUUCAGAUAUGUUCAAGUCUAUAGGAUUCAAACUAAUAAAAAUUGACAUUUAACAUUUAAACUCCGUCGAAAAUUUAAAUGAAAUCCAUCAUACUA